rnacentral:rRNA from 1 species
GACGAACGCUGGCGGCGUGCUUAACACAUGCAAGUCGAACGGAGAGGCCCUGCUUUUGUGGGGUGCUAGUGUCGAACGCGGGAGUAUAACACGAGCGUAACCUGCCCUAGACUUUGGUAACUAUCAGGAAAGUUGGGUAAUACUCGGUAUGGGGCACCUGGUGCUCGCUGGGGGUUGGAAAGUUUUGUCGGUUGCGGAUCGGCUCGCGGCCUAUCAGCUUGUUGGUGGGGUAGUGGCUUACCAAGGCUUGGACGGGUAGCCGGCCUGAGAGGGUGACCGGCCAAAUGGGGCCUGAGACACGGCCCAGACUCCUACGGGGGCAGCAGUGGGGAAUAUUGCACAAUGGGCGGAAGCCUGAUGCAGCAACGCCGCGUGCGGGAUGACGGCCUUCGGGUUGUAAACCGCUUUCGCCUGUGACGAAGCGUGAGUGACGGUAAUGGGUAAAGAAGCACCGGCUAACUACGUG